rnacentral:rRNA from 1 species
GACGAACGCUGGCGGCGUGCUUAACACAUGCAAGUCGAACGAUGAAGAAGAGCUUGCCCUUCGGAUUAGUGGCGAACGGGUGAGUAACACGUGACUAACCUGCCCCUUUCUCUGGGAUAACGCUCCGAAAGGAGUGCUAAUACCGGAUACUCACAUCGAGGCACAUGCCUUGAUGUGGAAAGUUUUUCGGAAAGGGAUGGAGUCGCGGCCUAUCAGCUUGUUGGUGAGGUAACGGCUCACCAAGGCGACGACGGGUAGCCGGCCUGAGAGGGCGACAGGCCACACUGGGACUGAGACACGGGACAGACUCCUGCGGGAGGCAGCAGUGGUGAAGAUUGCACAGUGGGCGAAAGCCUGAUGCAGCGGGGCCGCGUGAGGGAUGAAGGUCUUCGGAUUGUAAACCUCUUGCAGUAGGGACGAAGCGAAAGUGACGGUACCUAAAGAAGAAGCACCGGCUAACUACGUGCCAGCCGCCGCCGUAA